rnacentral:rRNA from 1 species
UACGGAGGAUCCAAGCGUUAUCCGGAUUUAUUGGGUUUAAAGGGUGCGUAGGCGGGAGAUUAAGUCGGUGGUGAAAUUUUGCAGCUCAACUGUAAAAGUGCCAUUGAUACUGGUUUCCUUGAGUGUGGAUGAAGUAGGCGGAAUUUGUGGUGUAGCGGUGAAAUGCAUAGAUAUCACGAGGAACUCCGAUUGCGCAGGCAGCUUACUAAACCAUAACUGACGCUCAGGCACGAAGGCGUGGGGAUCAAACAGGAUUAGAUACCCCGGUAGU